GAUGAACGCUGGCGGCGUGCCUAAUACAUGCAAGUCGAGCGAACCACUUCGGUGGUGAGCGGCGAACGGGUGAGUAACACGUAGGUCAUCUGCCCAUCAGACGGGGACAACGAUUGGAAACGAUCGCUAAUACCGGAUAGGACGAAAGUUUAAAGGUGCUUCUGGCACCGCUGAUGGAUGAGCCUGCGGCGCAUUAGCUAGUUGGUAGGGUAAAGGCCUACCAAGGCGACGAUGCGUAGCCGACCUGAGAGGGUGAACGGCCACACUGGGACUGAGACACGGCCCAGACUCCUACGGGAGGCAGCAGUAGGGAAUCUUCGGCAAUGGGCGAAAGCCUGACCGAGCAACGCCGCGUGAAUGAUGAAGGCCUUCGGGUUGUAAAACUCUGUUCUUGAGGAAGAAACCUUCAGAGGCGAACAGCUUCUGAAGUUGACGGUACUCAAAGAGAAAGCCCCGGCUAACUACGUGCCAGCAGCCGCAGUAA
rnacentral:rRNA from 1 species